ACGUAGGGUGCGAGCGUUAAUCGGAAUUACUGGGCGUAAAGCGUGCGCAGGCGGUGAUGUAAGACAGAUGUGAAAUCCCCGGGCUCAACCUGGGAACUGCAUUUGUGACUGCAUCGCUGGAGUGCGGCAGAGGGGGAUGGAAUUCCGCGUGUAGCAGUGAAAUGCGUAGAUAUUCGCAGGAACACCAGUGGCGAAGGCGACUUGCUGGGCUUGUGGUGACGCUGAGACGCGAAAGCGUGGGGAGCAAACAGGA
rnacentral:rRNA from 1 species